rnacentral:rRNA from 1 species
AUGGGGAUGUUGGUGCUGUUCAAGAGGCCUGCUGGGUUUGCCUUUUUCAAGGUUCUGAACCAGGGCAGAUCUAUGGAAGAAGUUCACGACUCGGACUCGACGAGAAAGCCUCACCGGCAUCCUGAGGCGACAGAGCGACGGCCGCGCUCGACACCCUCUUUCGCAACUCGACGACAGCCUAGCGUCAUAGGCGGCUCAUACGGUGGUCUAGAAGAUGGCGACCCAUUUGGGUGGGCGACAACGACCGCAGCUGGUGCACGCGCUCACACUCAACCCGUCCAUACUCAACUCUUCCUCUCGGGUGCGGACUGA